rnacentral:rRNA from 1 species
ACAAGAACGACUCUCGGCAACGGAUAUCUCGGCUCUCGCAUCGAUGAAGAACGUAGCGAAAUGCGAUACUCGGUGUGAAUUGCAGAAUCCCGUGAACCAUCGAGUCUUUGAACGCAAGUUGCGCCCGAAGCCGUUAGGUUGAGGGCACGUCUGCCUGGGUGUCACAC